rnacentral:rRNA from 1 species
AUUGAACGCUGGCGGCAGGCCUAACACAUGCAAGCCGAGCGGAUGAGGGGAGCUUGCUCCCUGAUUUAGCGGCGGACGGGUGAGCAAUGCGUAGGAAGCUGCCCGAUAGAGGGGGAUACCAGUUGGAAACGACUGUUAAUACCGCAUAAUGUCUACGGACCAAAGUGUGGGACCUUCGGGCCACAUGCUAUCGGAUGCGCCUACGUGGGAUUAGCUAGUUGGUGAGGUAAUGGCUCACCAAGGCGACGAUCUCUAGCUGGUUUGAGAGGAUGAUCAGCCACACUGGAACUGAGACACGGUCCAGACUCCUACGGGAGGCAGCAGUGGGGAAUAUUGGACAAUGGGCGCAAGCCUGAUCCAGCCAUGCCGCGUGUGUGAAGAAGGCCUUCGGGUUGUAAAGCACUUUCAGCGAGGAGGAAGGGAGUUGUGUUAAUAGCGCAGCUUUUUGACGUUACUCGCAGAAGAAGCACCGGCUAACUCUGUGCCAGCCGCCGCGGUAAAAC